rnacentral:lncRNA from 1 species
GCAGAAUUAUAGAUAAUUAUUGUUGGAAAGACCGUUCCUAUAGGUCUACCUAAUCUGGGAGGGGCCUCAAGUGCUGAGUCACAGUUCAAUGGAGUUAGUUUGGCCAGGGAGAGAGGAGUACAAGCUGUGUGGGUCUGUUCCUCCAUGUUUACCCCCUUUGUGUGCGAAGUAUGCGUCCUUGACUUGAACACUGGAGCAGCUCGACAGACCUAACAGCAGAUAGAAAGUGAAAGGAAGAUUGAGAAAAAAUACCUGGGACCUUUGUUCACCUGAAACUUUCAGCUACAAGCCCUUAUCUACAAAUUAUAAUCCAUCUGACUUCAAUCCACCCAGAAGAACAAGAAGCAUUGAGAACGUCUUACACUAUCCAUUUGGCUUUAAUCCAAUCAGAAGAACAAGAAGCGUUGGCUCCUCAUAUCGUAAGUCACUAUUCAUUAUUCAGCUUGACUGAUGUAGCAUUGUUAGUAUUAACAGCAUUAGCAUUGUGUGUAUUGGAACUACACAAAAAAUUAAGGAAGAAAAACAGUGGCACCUCAACAGUGUUUCAGCCGCACCAAAAACAGAAUUGCAGCGCCCUCCCAGGGCACAUCAACUGCAUAGCAGCGUCCUCUCAGCACUGGCACCUCAACAGCACCUUAACUAGGGUGACCAAACGUCCGUAUUUUAUGUCCUGUCCCGUCACGGGUUUUUUUUUCAGAAAGUGAGGAAAUGUUCUGUUUUUUAAAUUACCUUCAUUGGACCAGAGAGCAGUAGACAGCUUGACUGUCAGCGUGGAACCCUCCCUCCCCCCCUUCCGGUGUAGUCUCACAGUAAGAGCACACACAACGCUCCACCCCUCAACCGGCUACAGUACCACAACAGUGUAGCAGCCACACCGGCUACAGUACCACCUCAACAGUGUAGCAGCCACACCGGCUACAGUACCACCUCAACAGUGUAGCAGCCACACCGGCUACAGUACCACCACAACAGUGUAGCAGCCACACCGGCUACAGU